GACGUAGGGCGCGAGCGUUGUCCGGAUUUAUUGGGCGUAAAGAGCUCGUAGGCGGCUUGUCGCGUCGACUGUGAAAACCGCCGGCUUAACUGCGGGCCUGCAGUUGAUACGGGCAGGCUAGAGUUCGGUAGGGGAGACUGGAAUUCCGUGGUGUAGCGGUGAAAUGCGCAGAUAUCAGGAGGAACACCGGUGGCGAAGGCAGGUCUCUGGGCCAGCUACUGACGCUGAGAAGCGAAAGCAUGGGGAGCGA
rnacentral:rRNA from 1 species